UGGGGAAUUUUGCACAAUGGGGGAAACCCUGAUGCAGCGACGCCGCGUGAUUUAGAAGGCCUUCGUGUUGUAAAAAUCUUUUCUAUGGGAAGAAAAUGACAGUACCAUAGUAAUAAGGACCGGCUAAUUACGUGCCAGCAGCCGCGGUAAUACGUAAGGUCCGAGCGUUGUCCGGAAUCAUUGGGCGUAAAGGGUACGUAGGCGGGUAAGCAAGUUAGAAGUGAAAUCCUAUAGCUCAACUAUAGUAAGCUUUUAAAACUGCUCAUCUUGAGGUAUGGAAGGGAAAGUGGAAUUCCUAGUGUAGCGGUGAAAUGCGCAGAUAUUAGGAGGAAUACCGGUGGCGAAGGCGACUUUCUGGCCAUAACCUGACGCUGAGGUACGAAAGCGUGGGUAGCAAACAGG
rnacentral:rRNA from 1 species